rnacentral:rRNA from 1 species
GAUGAACGCUGGCGGCGUGCCUAAUACAUGCAAGUCGAGCGAACGGACGAGAAGCUUGCUUCUCUGAUGUUAGCGGCGGACGGGUGAGUAACACGUGGAUAACCUACCUAUAAGACUGGGAUACCUUCGGGAAACCGUAGCUAAUACCGGAUAAUAUUUUGAACCGCAUGGUUCAAAAGUGAAAGACGGUCUUGCUGUCACUUAUAGAUGGAUCCGCGCUGCAUUAGCUAGUUGGUAAGGUAACGGCUUACCAAGGCAACGAUGCAUAGCCGACCUGAGAGGGUGAUCGGCCACACUGGAACUGAGACACGGUCCAGACUCCUACGGGAGGCAGCAGUAGGGAAUCUUCCGCAAUGGGCGAAAGCCUGACGGAGCAACGCCGCGUGAGUGAUGAAGGUCUUCGGAUCGUAAAACUCUGUUAUUAGGGAAGAACAUAUGUGUAAGUAACUGUGCACAUCUUGACGGUACCUAAUCAGAAAGCCACGGCUAACUACGUG